rnacentral:rRNA from 1 species
UCGGGAAUUUUGGGCAAUGGGCGAAAGCCUGACCCAGCAACGCCGCGUGAAGGAUGAAGUAUUUCGGUAUGUAAACUUCGAAAGAAUAGGAAGAAUAAAUGACGGUACUAUUUAUAAGGUCCGGCUAACUACGUGCCAGCAGCCGCGGUAAUACGUAGGGACCAAGCGUUGUUCGGAUUUACUGGGCGUAAAGGGCGCGUAGGCGGCGUGGUAAGUCAUCUGUGAAAUCUCCGAGCUUAACUCGGAACGGUCAGAUGAUACUGCUGUGCUAGAGUACAGAAAGGGCAAUCGGAAUUCUUGGUGUAGCGGUGAAAUGCGUAGAUAUCAAGAGGAACACCUGAGGCGAAGGCGGGUUGCUAGGCUGAUACUGACGCUGAGGCGCGAAAGCUAGGGGAGCAAACGGGAUUAGAUACCCGUGUAGUCCCUGAGCGGGCUGGCAAGGCGCAU